rnacentral:rRNA from 1 species
CGCCUGCCCUGUGACAAAUGUUUAACGGCCGCGGUAUUUUGACCGUGCAAAGGUAGCGCAAUCACUUGUCUUUUAAAUGAAGACCUGUAUGAAUGGCACGACGAGGGCUUAACUGUCUCCUUUUUCCAGUCAAUGAAAUUGAUCUUCCCGUGCAGAAGCGGGAAUAUAACCAUAAGACGAGAAGACCCUAUGGAGCUUUAGACACAAGACAGAUCUUGUUAAACACUUCAAAAUAAAGAAACAAACUAAAAGAACCCUGUCCUAUUGUCUUUGGUUGGGGCGACCACGGGGAGACAAACAACCCCCACGCGGACCGAGAAAACAAUUCUCACAACCAAGAGUUACAACUCUAAUUAACAGAAAUUCUGACCUCAAGAUCCGGCAAUGCCGAUCAACGGACCGAGUUACCCUAGGGAUAACAGCGCAAUCCCCUUUUAGAGUCCAUAUCGACAAGGGGGUUUACGACCUCGAUGUUGGAUCAGGACAUCCUAAUGGUGCAGCAGCUAUUAAGGGUUCGUUUGUUCAACGAUUAAAGUCCU